AAUGGUUUAAACACCACUGCGGAUUUCGAAGGUCAAUCGGCAUUAUAAGAGAAAGAAAGAAAAGUGCUUAUGACACUCUACGGGAACCAAAUGUAUAGUUUAUAGUCUGAUCGAGCCAUCAGCUCUUACUUGUUACUAUGGGGCAGUGAUAAGGUUCCCAUUAAAAAGCUUCAGCUUAAUAAACUUUUUUCCUCCAAAAGAGCAGAAUCUGUUACAGUAACCUUUGAACUGCGCUUUAUCUGCCUAAUUAACGACGUCACCUAGUUCCUUGCAUAUUAAUACCGGUAGAGACGAAAUGCAUGCAGCCUAAUCGCAGUUUUAGCACGAAUCCAGCCACGCAUCUUACCUCAGGCGUGAUUAUUUCAGAUUUCCAUUACCUACUUGCAUCUCAUUGCCUAAACGCUGGAGGACGCAAACCAACGCCAACUGGCGAUCCCUCCACCAUGCUGAGAGUCCCAUGCGUGGUUCUUUGAUGGUGGAUGAGCUAUGGAACCAUCUACUGUCAUCAGACUCCAUCCCCACCUUCAAGAAACGCCUCAAGACCCAAGGUGUUCCAGGAAUACCUCCACUAGCGUGACAGCAUUAGCCUCACCCAAGCAUCCAAGGUUUGCCCUGAAGACAAGGAGAGAGAAGGUCACUGCAACCCACCAGAU